UACGUAGGGUGCGAGCGUUAAUCGGAAUUACUGGGCGUAAAGCGUGCGCAGGCGGUUGUGCAAGACAGAUGUGAAAUCCCCGGGCUUAACCUGGGAAUGGCAUUUGUGACUGCACGGCUAGAGUGUGUCAGAGGGGGGUAGAAUUCCACGUGUAGCAGUGAAAUGCGUAGAUAUGUGGAGGAAUACCGAUGGCGAAGGCAGCCCCCUGGGAUAACACUGACGCUCAUGCACGAAAGCCAGGGGAGCAAACGGG
rnacentral:rRNA from 1 species